GACAGAGGGUGCAAACGUUGUUCGGAUUUACUGGGCGUAAAGCGCGUGUAGGCGGCUUUGCAAGUCGGAUGUGAAAGCCCACGGCUCAACCGUGGAAGUGCAUCCGAAACUGCAUGGCUGGAGUCUCGGAGAGGAAGGUGGAAUGCUUGGUGUAGAGGUGAAAUUCGUAGAUAUCGGAGGGAACACCAGUGGCGAAGGCGGCUACCUGGAUUGACACUGACACUGAGGCGCGAGAGCGUGGGGAGCAAACAGG
rnacentral:rRNA from 1 species